rnacentral:rRNA from 1 species
UACGGGGGGGGCAAGCGUUGUUCGGAAUUACUGGGCGUAAAGGGUUCGUAGGUGGCUUGCUAAGUCAGACGUGAAAUCCCUCAGCUUAACUGGGGAACUGCGUCUGAGACUGGCCGGCUUGAGUGCAGGAGAGGAACGCGGAAUUCCAGGUGUAGCGGUGAAAUGCGUAGAUAUCUGGAGGAACACCGGUGGCGAAGGCGGCGUUCUGGACUGCUACUGACACUGAGGCGCGAAAGCUAGGGGAGCAAACAGG